UACGUAGGGGGGCGAGCGUUGUCCGGAAUCAUUGGGCGUAAAGAGCGUGUAGGCGGACUUAAAGGUCUGGUGUGAAAGCCCGGGGCUCAACCCCGGAGGGUCACUGGAAACCAUAAGUCUUGAAUCUGGAAGAGGAGAGUGGAAUUCCUGGUGUAGCGGUGGAAUGCGCAGAUAUCAGGAGGAACACCAAUGGCGAAGGCAGCUCUCUGGUACAUGAUUGACGCUGAGACGCGAAAGCGUGGGGAGCGAACAGG
rnacentral:rRNA from 1 species